rnacentral:rRNA from 1 species
UGGGGAAUCUUGGACAAUGGGGGCAACCCUGAUCCAGCCAUGCCGCGUGAGUGAUGAAGGCCUUAGGGUUGUAAAGCUCUUUCACCGGUGAAGAUAAUGACGGUAGCCGGAGAAGAAGUCCCGGCUAACUCCGUGCCAGCAGCCGCGGUAAUACGGAGGGGGACUAGCGUUGUUCGGAAUUACUGGGCGUAAAGAGUUCGUAGGCGGACUAGCAAGUUAGAGGUGAAAUCCCAGGGCUCAACCUUGGAACUGCCUUUAAAACUAUUGGUCUAGAGUUCGAGAGAGGUGAGUGGAAUUCCAAGUGUAGAGGUGAAAUUUCGUAGAUAUUUGGAGGAACACCAGUGGCGAAGGCGGCUCACUGGCUCGAUACUGACGCUGAGGUGCGAAAGUGUGGGGAAGCAACAGGAUUAGAUACCCUGGUAGUCCACACCGUAAACGAUGAAUGCCAGUCGUCGGGUAGCAUGGCUAUUCGGUGACACACCUAACGGAUUAAGCAUUCCGCCU